ensembl:lncRNA
AUGCUAAACUUUGUGACUAACCUCCCUAUAUUCUCAUCAGAAUCAGGUACAGAAUCAAAGGACAAACAAGACGACACAAAUAAAGACAAAACUGAACCACUUCAUGCGUCAGUACAAGGAUCUUCUGAUCUGUUAAGAGUUCAACUGGAAGAAAACGUCAGUCUGAACUGCAGCAUGACAGAUCAACAUGACAUCGCCUGGUAUCACCUCAGAUCUGACCGAUUCAAUCAACUGAUUGCGGCAGAAAAGGAUGAAACAGGAAGAAAACUUCUGGUCACCUACAAUCAAAACAGCAUUCGUCUGAUAAUUACUGCAGACUGGCGGAUCACCACAGUGACUUUAACUAUUUCUGGAGUAACAGAGUCAGAUUCUGGUCUUUAUUUCUGUGGAACAAAGUCUGGCACUACAGAGAUGUACUUCAACAAACCCAUCAGACUAGAGAUCCAGGGUCUUUCUGUAACAGAAGAACCAAAAGAAGUUGACAUCACAGAUGGAGUGACUACGAAAGAGAGGGCAAUGAUGUUCGGUGGUGUUGGUCUGGCUGUGCUUGUGUUUUUUCUGGCUACAGUCUUUGCAGGAGGAAUCAUUCACUAUCGAGGUUGGCAGAAAGGAUGGGCCGCAGCCAAACGCUCAUCUCUGAUUCAUCACAAAUCAGAUAAAUGAUACAUUUAUGUGCUUUAUUUUACAGUCUGAGCUUUGCACUGCCAGUUAAAUCAGCAUUACUGCAGGUUACCACAAAUAAAACAGAAAACUGUGACCUAGAUGCCUUUCCU